rnacentral:lncRNA from 1 species
AUGCCAGAGCGCCUUCAAUUUAUUCUGUUAUUCAGGUUUAGCAUCCAUGAUGCACUGGCUCUGCCCUGGUCAGAAAUGAGAUGUGUUACACUUUACUUAAGGCAAGAGAAACCGUGUCCUCAGCACCUUGUUCUUGGCUGUUUUACUCCCGUUAUCAGUAAUGCACAUUCAGCUUGUUCUUCCACCCUGGCUCGAUGUUACAAAUUCAAAGGCAGCGCACUGAGCCCAGCUCUGGCAACCUCACUGACUGACGUUUGUUUUUUAGUGACUGUUAUGCUGGAGGAAGGUGUUCCCUGGACGGUUUUGGAGACAGAAGUGCUGUUUUUGCUAGAGCAGCAAACUGGACUGCAAAAAGCAUUGCCGAAAAGAGCAGCAGAGAAGCUGCCUCUGAGCCUGGGAAACCCCUUCAGAGCUAUAGAGAUCGCACACAGGAAACAAGCACGGCUCCGCUUGUAAGCAUAGCAAGUCAGACAGAACAAAUGAAAUAGCUAGUGAUUGUAUGACGAAAAAGAAGGCCUGGUGAUGGAGAUCCCCAGUGAUAUUUUGCUGUUUCUGAGGACAUAGGCAAGGUAGGAUUUUUAACUAGUGAUGAUAUGUUUGUAAAAACUAGAUAAGCUUUCAGAAAUACAAAACCUUCUCUUAGAUACGUAUCAAUUAUAUCACACUUAACUAAACUCUCAACAGUUGUUCUCAGCUUGCGCUUAGUUUGGAGACCUGCUGCUUCCAUUUCAGACCUGAUGGAAGACUUGUGUGCCUGAAAGCUUGCCUAAUUCCUAGCUCUACUGGUUGCUCUAAUAAGAGAAAUUGCCUCCUAUUUACAAAACUUGUUGAGAAACAGGGAUGGCAAUACCUUGUUCUAUUCAAGGUCUUUCCUGUUCAUCCCUAGCAAAAUCCGAAAGUUGGAGUUUUGCUCUACAUUCCCCAAAAUAAUGUGAAGAUAGGAUAAUAGUAGAAAGAUCCUGUUAAUACUUUGCUUGGAAUCCAGAGCAGACUUCCAGUUAUUUCCUAAAACUCCAGGGAGUACCACUGUAACUUUGAGGAGCACAAAACUCGCAUUCUUUGUUCCAGCUUGCUCCACAGUCUCAGUGUUGUGCUGCUUAAUUUCUGAAGGGGAAAAGAACAACCGAGGGAGAUUUCAGGGACUCAGUGUUUUUUC